CGUUUCACUAUUUUCCUGCUUGGAAACAACGAGAGAAGGCUAAGCUAUCGGAGCUAACUAAAAGAAGACGAAUGUCCUGGUGUCCGCGGUUGAGACGUCCUGAUAUCUUCUCCAAAAUCUCCAGAUACCUACAAGUUUGCUCCAGACAUUUCCAUUCUGGCAAACCGAUGUAUGAAAUGGGACCCAAUCCUGACUGGGUCCCAGUCCUGAAUAUGGGUCACUGAGAAGAGGUAAAUAAUGCCACAGGAGGCUGGAGAUGAGGAGCAAGUUGGAGAGGCUGACGAGGAAACGCCAGGAGAGGAGCUCAGCAAGGCUGCAGGAAUAUGUUGGAAGU